GUGGGGAAUAUUCCGCAAUGGACGAAAGUCUGACGGAGCAACGCCGCGUGAGUGAUGAAGGUUUUCGGACUGUAAAGCUCUGUUGUUUAGGACGAAAGUGCCUGUUGCGAAUAGUUACAGGUAUUGACGGUACUGAACGAGGAAGCCACGGCUAACUACGUGCCAGCAGCCGCGGUAAUACGUAGGUGGCAAGCGUUGUCCGGAAUUAUUGGGCGUAAAGAGCAUGUAGGCGGGAAUCUAAGUCUGUUGUGAAAAUGCGGGGCUCAACCCCGUAUUGCGAUGGAAACUGGGUUUCUUGAGUGCAGGAGAGGAAAGGGGAAUUCCCAGUGUAGCGGUGAAAUGCGUAGAUAUUGGGAGGAACACCAGUGGCGAAGGCGCCUUUCUGGACUGUGUCUGACGCUGCGAUGCGAAAGCCAGGGUAGCGAACGGGAUUAGAAACCCUAGUAGUCC
rnacentral:rRNA from 1 species